ACGGAGGCCAGAGGUGGCGACAGGCCCAGCCCGGCCACAGAAGCAAGGCCCAGGAGGAGGGAAAGAAAGGGGGGGGCAGAAGUGGCAGUGGGGAAGAGAGAUAGCUGGGCCUGGCAUGGGCUGGUCGUGGUUAGGAAGUGGAGACUGGGGCAGAACAUGGUGGGGGGGGAGGUAACCGCCGGCCCCCCAAAGCACACAGAUGCUCUGUGCGGAGUCAGCCAGUAAAAGGAAAAGCCCCUCUCCUCUUUGCACAACUUAAGGGGCACACAGGGCUUAAUUUGUGCCAAAGAGUUCAUUUUUAACAGCAGGGCUCAGUUCACAUAUUUACAUGCAACAAUAAUUAAGGACUGCACAUGUAGUCCAUAUCAGUUACUCAGUGAACACACUAACACAUCUCCAUGUGUGACUGAUAGUCAGGCUUGAAACCUAGCACCUCUUUCUUUAGAGAUUACCACUGUGGGUCAGGAGGUCUGAAACUGCAAGCUUCUCCAAACAUCGAGGUGUAGACCAGUAUCAUCUGCCUGCAGGACUUAGGUUACCUAGGCUCAAGGAAUUUUUAGUGACAGAAUUGAAAAGCAGAGAGGGAUACAAGAGCAUCUCUCAGCAUAUGCAGGAUACUUUCCUUUGCUUCAGAACCAAGUAAUCAGCAGUCCCAUGCUGCAGCUAGGAUUAAAUUGAUUAUUGGGCUUAGAAAGGUUUGAGGCCACUAAUGUAAAAAGGAACAAAGUGUUUAUUAUUAAUAGCAAUUAUUAAAUACUUGGUAUUUAUCCAGUGCUUUUUGAUUUUCUCACCUACAUUACCUUCUUAUAACCUGAAUCACCACUCUACAGGGCAGAUCAGCAUCACGCUGAAGAUAGCGGGGAGGGGGGCUGAGGCUAAGUAAGAGAGAAUGGCUUAUCUAAGCCCACCUAGUAAGUUUAUGGCUAAGGCAAGAUUCAAAUCAGACAUUUUCUGGUCUGCAGUGCAGUCUUUCAGCCACUGUGCUACACCAGCUCUAUCGAUACUAGCGGUUCUCAAUAGUAAGUGGGUCCUUGAGCGGAGCAAGAUUCAUUUGGGGACAGGGAGGGAGGACCACACAAUUCAAGGGAGAGAAAAGAUUCUGCAGCAAGCAAAGCCCAAGUCACUUUCAUCCCAGCAGCAGAGAUUUAGCACUACAGCCACCUAAACUGCUACACAAACCAUGGGGUCAAUCUGCAGGAGUGGGGGAACAUACAGAAGCUUGUGGCCACAGCACUACCUCCUCUCUGCCCUGGAUGACUGGCUCUCGGGCAGCGGGGUUGGCAUGGCCGGGUCUUAUGACUACAAGGAAUCCCUUCAGAUCAAGCGUUACAGGUAAAACAGAAGGGCCCGAUGCACGUCCAAAGAAUGAAGCACCACUUCUAAGGGUGAUUGUGGUCCUUGGAAGAAGGGCUUUUGACGAGGAAAUGAGCGGCCCUUCAACGCACCUCCCGGCACAGAUGUUGCCGACAUGAAGAGAUGCUGAGCGAAGCCAAGCAUGGUGAAACAUGCUUACUGCCAUGACCAUUAUGAGGGACUCAGUUUCGACCAGAUGUUUAAAAGCCCUCAACUGUUGCCUUGUUACAGCCAUUGUCCGUUCAUAAAUGUCACUGAACUUCAGCUGGAAUUCCUCUGGCGUCAUGGAUGUUGAAUUUUGCAAGAGGGAAUCCCACAACAGGAGUUGUAUGACGGCGGCCACCAUGUGAUGUGGAAGCACAAUCCACGACCAGAGAAUUCGGCACUAGAUGGCAUAGCAGGCAUCCAAAUCAGUGUCAGAAAUUUCUGUCCUAGAGAUAAGUUUGGACAACAUAGGAGAAAACCUCAUAUUUGAAAGCCAUUGGUCAACAGGUAACUUUGAAUAGGAAUCCCCUAACUUUUGGGCAUGGUUUGAAAUUUCAGAGCAGUAAAAUCCAUUAAGUUUGGCAUCCAAAUGCUCUUUUAUAAACACUGAUUAGAAAGAGGAGACUAACUUAAUUUAUUUUUUAACUACAAAUCAUGUACAUUCCAAGUUCACACUUUCAGACCGUGUAGCUCCAAGCCAUAUUGCUGCACUAUACCACUGCAUUUAACCCAGUCAGUGAUUUGCAGAUAUACUCCUUUCCUUCUUUAACAGGGAUCUCUUGCGGAACCUUUUGUCCUCCACAAACGAUAAGCAAUAAAGGAGGAGCUUCUGAAGGGGAGGAUGGAAGCAAUAAUGUAUAAAUUUGGCAUCUUCACUAAUGUUAUAUCAGUGUUCUCUGAGUUCUUGCACUGUGUGAAGAAACAGGAAGGCUCUUUCACUUUGUUUAUACUGGUUACCCAAGUAUACAGUAUUGGUUACCAGAAAGAUAUGUAGCUGCCCUUGCCAUCUGGUGACUACAUUUGUGGUCCCUUGCCUUGAAGCAAGGCCAUAAUGAUACAUACUUCACUUUUCAAAUAUUUUAUUUUAGAGAAGUUUCUGCUUACUCUCACAGCUGUACAAGCCAGCUUGCACGUAACUGAAGAUUCAUC